rnacentral:rRNA from 1 species
UGGGGAAUUUUCCGCAAUGGGCGAAAGCCUGACGGAGCAAUACCGCGUGAGGGAAGAAUGCCUGUGGGUUGUAAACCUCUUUUUUCAGGGAAGAAUUUUGACGGUACUUGAAGAAUAAGCAUCGGCUAACUCCGUGCCAGCAGCCGCGGUAAUACGGGGGAUGCAAGCGUUAUCCGGAAUCACUGGGCGUAAAGCGUCUGUAGGUGGUAUAGCAAGUCUGCUGUUAAAUAUUAGGGCUUAACCCUGAAAAUGCAGUGGAAACUACUAAACUAGAGUAUGGCAUGGGCAAAGGGAAUUCCCAGUGUAGCGGUGAAAUGCGUAGAUAUUGGGAAGAACACCAGUAGCGAAAGCGCUUUGCUUGACCUUUACUGACACUCAGAGACGAAAGCUAAGGUAGCAAAUGGGAUUAGAUACCCCCGUAGUCC